rnacentral:tRNA from 1 species
GUGGGUGUAGCUCAGUCGGUAGAGCACCGGGUUGUGGCCUCGGCGGUCGAGGGUUCAAGUCCCUUCACUCACCCCA